UUGGUCGAGUUAGACCGCUCCAAUCGGGAUCCGGUGACCUAACCGGUCGAGUUUGACCAAGUCAUCUCGAGUCUAUUACGUGACCGAUCUAAUAGUAUAAUCGAUCUGAUUAGGUCACCAGAUCCCAAUUGGAUCGGUCCAACCGGCCGA
rnacentral:pre_miRNA from 1 species